UCACAAAGCGUGAGAUAGGGGAUGCCGGCUUUGUCAGCGCAAUGAGGAAAUGUGGGCGGCAUUCGCAGGAAUGUUUAGCUCGCGCCAUAGCGCCAUGGAUACAGCUGUGAGGCGGGAUCGCGCAUUCCCUAGUCAGGAGAUCGGGGGCGCGGAUGCGUGGAUUUGCCGCGGCCAGGUUCUUGCCAUCGCUGAUCUUUGGAAACCUAGAGAUCUGAGGUACACUGAUUAGCAAAUGCGAGUGCCAGGCAAUGGAAUUUUGGUGUGUUUUCUUUCCAGCAGUGCCUGAGACGCCCGCAAAGAUGAUCAAUCGAUCGCUGCUGUUGACGUAUUUGUACCUUCUAAUUUACAUCACGCUUUCUUCUGGCGUG
rnacentral:lncRNA from 1 species